rnacentral:rRNA from 1 species
GGUGGGUGAUUUGGACAUGGGCGAAACCUGAUGCCUUCAAUGCCGCGUGUGUGAAGAACGCUUCGGGUUGUAAAGCACUUUUGUCCGGAAAGAAAUCUGGCUCUCAUACAGUCGGGGGAUGACGGUACCGGAAGAAUAAGCACCGGCUAACUACGUGCCAGUCAGCCGCGGCUAAUACGUAGGGUGCGAGCGUUAAUCGGAAUUACUGGGCGUAAAGCGUGCGCAGGCGGUUUGCUAAGACCGAUGUGAAAUCCCCGGGCUCAACCUGGGAACUGCAUUGGUGACUGGCAGGCUAGAGUAUGGCAGAGGGGGGUAGAAUUCCACGUGUAGCAGUGAAAUGCGUAAAGAUGUGGAGGAAUACCGAUGGCGAAGGCAGGCCCCUGGGCCAUUACUGACGCUCAUGCACGAAAGCGUGGGGAGCAAACGGGAUUAGAUACCCUGGGUUAGUCCACGCGGCUAAACGAUGUCAACUAGUUGUUGGGGAAUUCAUUUCCUUAGUAAGCGUAGCUAACGCGUGUAAUUGACCGCCUGGGGAGUACGGUCGCGAGAUUAAAACUCAAAGGAAUUGACGGGGACCCGCACAAGCGGUGGAUGAUGUGGAUUAAUUCGAUGCAACGCGAAAAACCUUACCUACCCUUGACAUGGUCGGAAUCCUGCUGAGAGGUGGGAGUGCUCGAAGAGAGGAAACGGGACACAGGUGCUGCAUGGCUGUCGUCAGCUCGUGUCGUAAGAUGUUGGGUUAAGUCCCGCAACGAGCGAAACCCUUGUCCUUAGUUGCUACGGCAAGAGCCACUCUAAGGAGACUGCCGGGUGCACAAACCGGAGGAAGGUGGGGAUGACGUCGAGUCCUCAUGGUCCUUAUCGGUAGCGGGUUUGCGCUUUCAUCCUGGGUCGGAACAGAGGGUUGCCAACCCGCAGAGGGGGAGCUAUUCCCAGAAAACCGAUCGUAGUCCGGAUUGCGACUCGUGCAACUCGAGUGCAUGAGCGCUGGAAUCGCUUGUAAUCGGCGGAUCAGCAUGCCGUGGUGAAUACGUUCUCCGGGUCUUGUACUAGACCGCCCGUCACAGCAAUGGGAGUGGGUUUACCAAGAAGUGGAUAGUCUAACCGCAAGGGAGGACGAGCACCACAGUAGGAUUCGUGACCUGGGGUGAAGUCGAAACCAAUGGUAAC